rnacentral:rRNA from 1 species
AUUGAACGCUGGCGGAAUGCUUUACACAUGCAAGUCGAACGGCAGCACGGGGGCAACCCUGGUGGCGAGUGGCGAACGGGUGAGUAAUACAUCGGAACGUGCCCAGUCGUGGGGGAUCACGUAGCGAAAGUUACGCUAAUACCGCAUACGAUCUACGGAUGAAAGCGGGGGACCGUAAGGCCUCGCGCGAUUGGAGGGGCCGAUGUCAGAUUAGGUAGUUGGGGAGGUAAAGGCUCACCAAGCCGACGAUCUGUAGCUGGUCUGAGAGGACGACCAGCCACACUGGGACUGAGACACGGCCCAGACUCCUACGGGAGGCAGCAGUGGGGAAUUUUGGACAAUGGGCGCAAGCCUGAUCCAGCCAUUCCGCGUGCAGGACGAAGGCCUUCGGGUUGUAAACUGCUUUUGUACGGAACGAAAAGGCUCUGGUUAAUACCUGGGGCCCAUGACGGUACCGUAAGAAUAAGCACCGGCUAACUACGUGCCAGCCGCCGCCGUAA